rnacentral:rRNA from 1 species
CUUGUAGGCGGUUGGUCGCGUCUGCCGCGAAAUCCUCUGGCUUAACUGGGGGCGUGCGGUGGGUACGGGCUGACUUGAGUGCGGUAGGGGAGACUGGAACUCCUGGUGUAGCGGUGGAAUGCGCAGAUAUCAGGAAGAACACCGGUGGCGAAGGCGGGUCUCUGGGCCGUUACUGACGCUGAGGAGCGAAAGCGUGGGGAGCGAACA